rnacentral:snRNA from 1 species
AUACUUACCUGGCAAGGGAGAUACCAUGAUCAUGAAGGUGGGUUUCCCAGGGCAAGGCUUAUCCAUGCACUCCGGAUGUGCUGACUCCUGAGAUUUCCCCAAAUGUGGGAAAGUCGGCUGCAUAAUUUGUGGUAGUGGGGGACUGCAUUCAUGCUAUCCCUUG